rnacentral:tRNA from 1 species
AGGCUUGUAGUUCAGGUGGUUAGAGCGCACCCCUGAUAAGGGUGAGGUCGGUGGUUCAAGUCCACUCAGGCCUACCA